CUAUCAGUUUUCAUAUAAAAUGAUUAAAUAACGAUUUAUGUUGUUGAAAUAGAUUUAUUGAUUAAUUUUUAAAAUUAAAAAUCCACCGCACAGUAUCUCCGCUCAGACUCGGUUAAAGUUUAAUCCAUUGUACUAAACUAAGAAACAACAAUUAUUUCAAGAGGGUGAACGUGAGCAAAAAAUCCUUGGGCGUCAUAUCAUUUCCUUGGAAAGGCUCAAAAUCAAAAGGCACGGAUCCGACACAUAAUUGUGACUAGUUGUAGUUUCCCGGUGACCAUCAACAAGACCGCUGCACUGAGCUGUGGAGCAGAAAGUGUCCGACAAUCGGAUAGAUGUAAUAACAACUUUGUCUGUCAUAUAUUCAUGUAAUUUUUAGUUUUUUGGGCUGAUAUAUGUGAUAUGAUUACAAGUUACACUAAUUGCAAUUGUGGAGUAAAAUCAGAUGUGCCAAAGAUCAUGUUUUAGAUAUAUAAAAAUCUAUAUUAAAUGCAAUAAAUAGUAUAUGUAUAUAUAUAAAA